GCCCGGAUGGUGGAAUCGGUAGACACGCAGGACUUAAAAUCCUGUGGCUAUAAUGGCUGUGCGGGUUCAAGUCCCGCUCCGGGUA
rnacentral:tRNA from 1 species